rnacentral:snRNA from 12 species
UUACUGACCUGGCAGGGAAGAUGUUCUUCUUGUCCCUGAAUGACUCCACGUAGUUAGAGGGUGAAGUCUGUCCCUUGCACUUUGGGCAGGCUGAUCCCUGCAAGAGUCUCUAAUGCCUCCAAUACAAGGAUCUCAGCUACAUGAUUUAUGGUGGUGGAGGAUUGGUUUCGUGCUUCCCCCCA